GAUGGCAACUCCAGGCUCCUGGAUGCA
rnacentral:piRNA from 1 species